CCUUGACAUCUUGAAGGCAGAGAUGUCCUGUGGUCAUGCAGUCACCCCAGAGUCACUGACCAGAUGGUGUAAAAGCCUACUUGGCCAGGGGCAGUAAAAGUUCAUUUGUCCUGCACUCAAGGGCAAUCAGAAGUGUGGUGUGGUGUGGUCUUAUCAGGAAGUGCGUAGGCUGGCUGCUCUGACUGCCGAGGAAAUACAGUAUUUUGAGGAGACCAUUGCAACCUUGGCUUCCCCCAAAUACUGUGAAACUAAAUCUAAAAGUGCCCAGGCUGCAAGUCACUGUUACUGAGACAGGACACAUCCAGCUUAAGAGUCCAUUGCACGGUAUGCUCUGAAGACAAUGGCCAGACCUACCAGUUCUGCUGGCAAUGUCAGAGGCAGUGGAAAAGUCCAGGGCUGGGCUCUGACUGCUGUGGCAACACUGGCUGUUCAAACCAGAAGCUACAGCUGCUGUGGAAAUGUCCAACCGUCUCCUUGUCCCGGGUACAGGGGGUCACCGACUGCCCGUCUAUACGUGCCUGUCCCACCUGUAGCAUACUAUUGGAGCAUGACAAGACCGGUUGUAAGAAUUUAUUCUGUCUGCGUUGCAAGAAAGAGUUCUGUUUUAUUUGCCUUAAGCUCAAAUCUGAGUGCAUGAAGACCAGUUCACCAUACAGAGCCUGCUCUGCUGGUGUUGCCCCCAGGCAGACCUCUAUACCCACCUGGAGUGGUAAUUAAAGACUUUAGGCAUAUACAGUAUGUUUCACUUUCCCCUUUAUGUGCAAUCUGAUCCAAUACACUUUUCACACGAUACUGUAUGUCAAAGUAUCAAUUCGAUAUAUUUUUGAGUGCAUGUUAAGAAUUAUGAAUAAGGUAAUUUGUAUACAUUUAAGUCAUUUAGCAGACACUCUUA